rnacentral:rRNA from 1 species
AUCAUUACAGAGUUACUACUCCAAACCCAUUGUGAACCUUACCUAUGUUCUGUUGCCUCGGCGGCGUGGUCAGCGCCCCCUCUGAAAAGAGGACGAUGCCCUCCCGCCGGCAGCACCAAACUCUUGAAUUUUACAGCGGAUUACAGUUCUGAUUUGAAAAUAAAAAACAAGUUAAAACUUUCAACAACGGAUCUCUUGGUUCUGGCAUCGAUGAAGAACGCAGCGAAAUGCGAUAAGUAAUGUGAAUUGCAGAAUUCAGUGAAUCAUCGAAUCUUUGAACGCACAUUGCGCCCGGCAGUAAUCUGCCGGGCAUGCCUGUCCGAGCGUCAUUUCAACCCUCGAACCUCCGUUUCCUCAGGGAAGCUCAGGGUCGGUGUUGGGGCGCUACGGCGAGUCUUCGCGACCCUCCGUAGGCCCUGAAAUACAGUGGCGGUCCCGCCGCGGUUGCCUUCUGCGUAGUAAGUCUCUUUUGCAAGCUCGCAUUGGGUCCCGGCGGAGGCCUGCCGUCAAACCACCUAUAACUCCAGAUGGUUUGACC